GUCCAAAAAGCUUAGCCAAUCAAAACCUUUGGCAACAAACAGGUCAUUCAGUAUUGAGAUGCGUUUUCUCCUACGCUUCGUUUUCUCUAAUCAAAACUGUAGUCUAUCAUCUCGCUUCAUAUCCUUCUCGAUGGCUCAGCCUUUCCUGUCACCUCUUUCCAAACUCCCCUUUCGCUUUGAUUUUCUUCAGGCCCUAACCAGCAAUCGAGCAAUAUAUCAGGUUUCCUUUCUAAAUCUAAUACCCACCGCUCUACACUUCAUUCCGUCGAAACACUUUCCAGGGUUUCUGUUUUGUUGUGUGAUCAUGAGACUCAAGAGAUUGAAGGAGCGACCUUAUAUGAUUCUAUGUCUACGAUGAGGAUGAGUUUGAUGACCCCAAAACAAAUAUGAAACAAACGAUGAUAUUUAUUGAUUACCGCCCAAGCUUCACUCUUUGUUUUGUUUUGUGUUUUUUUCCUUUGUUACACUCAUGCUGAUUACUUCCUAAUUAAUUGAGUUCUCUGUGGUUUAUUAUUUUUUAUGUGUGGAAAGGAUCUCACUUUGAGUAAUAGCUCCAGCAAAAGGUACAACUUCUCUUUUGAAUUUGAUACUUGAUCUGCUUUCAUUACGGGGACUCCAAAUCAACUUAUAUUAGGCUAACAAUCUCUCUUGCCUGUUCAAUUGCUAUUAAUCUCGAUUCUGGAGAGUUUCUCGUCGUCAAACAGGUUAAUUUGAAAACUGUCUGAUUUUGAAUACUGUAAUUUUACUCUGCAAUUUGUUUUAAAAUUCCCCUCUCUCCCUGAAGUUUGAUUCUUAUGAUGAGUUUUUCGGUGAUCUGUGGGCUCUCCAAGCUCAUUCGUUCUACAUCUCAUCACCUUAAUUUGUUUAAUUACUCACGUAUUCUAUAAUUUUUUUGGGUGUUUACUCUAGCGUUAUUAUUGUUGUUUUUAUUGACUGGAUUUUAGUUGCUAAUAAACAUACAUGUUUCUUUGUUGAUAUUGUCCUCCGACUUCUCUUUCAUCAUAUUAUCUUAGUUAUUUUUUCUCUACAAUGAUUUGAUUUAUUCAUGACUUUCCUACUUUUGUUCAUCAUAUUCAGAAGCUGGAAAAGAAAGUUAAGCUUCUCAAGAAUCACUCACAUCCAAAUAUAGUUGUAUUUACGCACAUUGAGAGAAUGAAACUUUGAACAUCU